rnacentral:lncRNA from 1 species
AUUAAUAAAACUCCCUUUUUGCCAUCCUGUAAUCCCUUAAUUCAGGAUAGAGUCAGGGCUCCUGGAUGAAGUUGAGCAUUUUCUGACUGGAUGCCCUUCCUGGUGCCAGGUGGAGUUCAUAGCAGAUUUUGUUUUUCUUUGCACCCUAGGAGAGAAACACCUGCUGUUACCUAGGACUGAACUCUCAACCUUUCAAGUGGGAGGAGCUUAUGUUUAAGAAGCUUGGAUUGAACAAGGCAGCUUUCAAAGGAAGAGCUCUGCUCUACAGCUCCCUGAAUGUAUCCCUUGGGGUGCAGAAUCCAGGACUUGAUUCUGGCAGAUUCUUCUCAUAUUCUUGUGAUCCUAAUGGCAGCAGUAGAAAAUCCAUCCUUGUGAGUAGUAUAUAGUACAUACCCAAAAUAGUAUGUGCUUUUGAUCUUCUUAUAAAGCAGUAAGGUGGGCCAAUUGGAGGGGACUUAGGGGUUCAUCUGGUGAAAAUGUAUUCUGUGUGGUUCU